GGCCUGGGGGCACAGCGAUCCCCCCAUGAGGCGACAUGCCAAAGUAUCGCGUCCCGUUUUCACGAGGGCGCACGCAUG
rnacentral:ncRNA from 1 species